UUUAAAAUUAUAAAUUUUAUAUGAAGGCAGGUAAGAAAUUGGUUGGAAAUUGACUUUGGGUUUGAGGUGGGUCAUGAUCGUUGAUUUGCUUGAACUUGUUCUCGAGCCCAAUGUCAUUUAAUUCUUGCUAAACUGCUUCAGACCGGUCUUGAUAAGACUAAAAGCAGGACCGUGACUUAAUAAAAAGGGUUAAUCAAACCU
rnacentral:lncRNA from 1 species